rnacentral:rRNA from 1 species
GAGUUUGAUCCUGGCUCAGAACGAACGCUGGCGGCAUGCCUAACACAUGCAAGUCGAACGGGAUCCUGGCUUCGGUCAGGUGAGAGUGGCGGACGGGUGAGUAACGCGUGGGAACCUGCCCAGUGGUGGGGGAUAACUGCGGGAAACUGCAGCUAAUACCGCAUGAGCCCGAGAGGGGAAAGAUUUAUCGCCAUUGGAGGGGCCCGCGUUCGAUUAGGUAGUUGGUGGGGUAAAGGCCUACCAAGCCGACGAUCGAUAGCUGGUCUGAGAGGAUGAUCAGCCACACUGGGACUGAGAUACGGCCCAGACUCCUACGGGAGGCAGCAGUGGGGAAUAUUGGACAAUGGGGGCAACCUGAUCCAGCAAUGCCGCGUGAGUGAUGAAGGCC